rnacentral:rRNA from 1 species
CGGGUGAGUAACACGUGGAUAACCUACCUAUAAGACUGGGAUAACUUCGGGAAACCGGAGCUAAUACCGGAUAAUAUUUUGAACCGCAUGGUUCAAAAGUGAAAGACGGUCUUGCUGUCACUUAUAGAUGGAUCCGCGCUGCAUUAGCUAGUUGGUAAGGUAACGGCUUACCAAGGCAACGAUGCAUAGCCGACCUGAGAGGGUGAUCGGCCACACUGGAACUGAGACACGGUCCAGACUCCUACGGGAGGCAGCAG